rnacentral:lncRNA from 1 species
UCUUAUCUUUCAAAGCAGUAAAAUAAUUUACCAACAAAAAAAUGUUAUUGUAACUUGUAAGAAACUCGAUCUCCUAAUUAUAGUUCAAUAGACAGCGUUCCGAAAUUAAACACUCAGAAUUUGAGAGAAAAAUGGUACAUACAGCCAAUAAUAGACGGGAAAAAGAAAAGGCAAACCGAUGAGCAAGGCCACUAAUCACCGUUGGAAAAGAUCAAAGUCAAAACUUCCGAAAUUAAAGCCAAAUUGGCUAAUUACGUUAACAUCCAAAAGAAAAUCUAUAAAGCCCUUAAAUCAGAAUUUUUUUCAAAAAAUCAUUGCCGAAUUUUAAGGAACAUUUACAGGGAAUUGAACCAUGGCCGUCUCCAAGUCCCACUCAUCAUGGCUAAUCAUUUUGGCAAUCCUUUCUUUGUUGGUUUUAAACCACGCGGAAGCAUCAGAAUCUGAACCACCAAUUUCACCAUCUGAUGACAACAACAACAACAUCAACAUCAAGAAUGAAAACAAGUUGUCUGUUGGUGGCUUAAUUAACGGCGGCAAGAAUUUGAUUCACAAAAUGAUGUGGGUCGACGAUCACCAAUUGAUGCCCGAAAAUUACCCAACGACGUCUGAAUAUUACCCAAUGAAGCCCGAUUUGGCCAGAGGGAGGCCCGAUGGUGCCAGGGUGAGACCAGUGUUUAACAGGAUGGAACCAGAGUUCCUGCAAUGAAGAAAGUUGCCGUGAAGAGAGGUGGAUGGAGCUAUAUAUGUGAUAAAUGGAGGCGCCACACGCCUACGGCUUAGCAAGGUAAUUUGAUCAACAACAAAUAAGGCUCCCUAGGAAUCAAUGUAACAGUAAAUUUAAUUUUUAUUGACACUAAGUAAUCUCAUUACUAUUAAGCCCAAAAUGGAUUGUGUUGAUGCUUCUUAGGCCCCGUUUGGGAUUGCUUUUGGGAGGGUUAAAAGUGAUUUUAAAAAUCUAAAAGCUAAUUUUGGUGUUUGGUAAAAAAAAAUCAAAAUCACUUUUGCCAGAAUCAGCUUCUCCUACAGCUGAUUUUGAAAAGCAGGGAAGGAG